GGUUUUAUAUUCAAUUUAUGAUAUCAAAUUGCAAAUUUGAAGGUAUGCUUUUAUUAAAACCU
rnacentral:tRNA from 1 species